CCUCUGGCAGACAGAUUUUGUGAGCUGCUUUUUUUUUUUCUUCUCAUAGCUCUUGUAUUUUCAUGAAGAAAUUAAAAACCAAUGUGAGAAACUGCCUAGGACAGGAAGGUGCGUCACAGCGCAUGUAGACCUUGAAUCGAAAAAUCCUCCAGCACCCACCAGAAAGGACGUGGAAGAAGGAAGCUCUCUCUUUGCCUGCUGGACCCCACUCUCACCUAGCGAGCCCCUCCUUUCGCUGGCAUCGGAGCCUGCGGCUGGAUUCCAGUGUGUACGGAAGACCAGCUGAGACAUCAGCCUCGUAGACUGAAGAACUAGUGGCUUCUUGGGCUUUCCAUUGUUAGACAGCCAUUGUUGGACUAACUGGACCCCAGCAUAAAUAAAAAAAUGGAGAUGCUUCAGACAGGUGUAAAAGUUACCUUCCCCACAGGUCUUCCUUGUGGGUGAAGAGGACGAUCGUGUGCCUCAUGACUCCUGCCCCGAAGAUCUCCUUCACCCUCCUCAAGGCUAGGGUGUCCUGAGCUGUGAAGCGUCCCAGCU